rnacentral:rRNA from 1 species
CCUACGAGUGGCUGCAGUGGGGAAUAUUGGACAAUGGGGGGAACCCUGAUCCAGCCAUGCCGCGUGUGUGAAGAAGGCCCUCGGGUUGUAAAGCACUUUCAGUGAGGAAGAACGCCUGGUGGUUAAUACCCAUCAGGAAAGACAUCACUCACAGAAGAAGCACCGGCUAACUCCGUGCCAGCAGCCGCGGUAAUACGGAGGGUGCGAGCGUUAAUCGGAAUUACUGGGCGUAAAGCGCGCGUAGGUGGCUUGAUAAGCCGGUUGUGAAAGCCCCGGGCUCAACCUGGGAACGGCAUCCGGAACUGUCAAGCUAGAGUGCAGGAGAGGAAGGUAGAAGUCCCGGUGUAGCGGUGAAAUGCGUAGAGAUCGGGAGGAAUACCAGUGGCGAAGGCGGCCUUCUGGACUGACACUGACACUGAGGUGCGAAAGCGUGGGUAGCAAACAGGAUUAGAUACCCUAGUAGUC